AGCAGGCUUCAGGCUCCGAGCUGUCAGCACAGAGUCUGAUGCGGGGCUCGAAUCCAUGAACUGUGGGAUCAUGACAUGUGCCAAAGUCGGAUGCUUAACUGACUGAGCUACCCAGGUGCCUCAAGUCCAUUUACUCUUGACAGAGCUUACAACUUUUUUCAUCUAUGAUAAUCUUGAACUCUAGGCCAAAAAAACCUGUCAUCCUUGCCUUGUUCACAUUAAUAAAAAUUAAUCAAUGAGAUUCCUUCAGCCCAUCAGUUCACUACUCACUAGCAUGAGCUCAGGUAGCAUUAGAGGCAGUAGCAUGGGGCCUAUUGUACAGCUUUUCAGAUCAUUAGUGCUAAACAUUAAGGUCUGGGGAAGGUUCUGGCUUUUGCCUUCUCAAAGGUCUACAAAGUUUUCACUUUCUGAUACAAAUUCCAGUGUUAACGGAUCGAAGUCCAGUGAUUGUAAUGAACUAUGUGCCAGACUCUUCUGGGUAUUAUCGCAAAUACUGCUUCCAGCCAACCUUAGAAGUGAAGUACUGUCAUCAUUCCUGUUUUACAGAAGCACAAAGAAGUUAAGUAACUUGCCCAGGUUCACACCAAGAUUUGAAGCCAGGUAGUCUUACUGCAGAGCCUAUGUGCUUAGCCAUCUCCAAUGCUGGCCUCAUGCUCAUUCGUUUGCCUGGAUCUUACCAGAUGCAUCCAGAUUCCCUGUCUAUGCCAAGAACAGUGUCUUUCUCAUAACAGGUGUGCAGUAAAUACUGAGUUGGUGCUUGAAGCAGAGAGCACAGUGAGUAAAGUAGUUGUGCAUUUUGUUGUUUUGUGAUGCAACCUGUAUUCAAUACUGUACCAGAUUCACUCUGUAGUUAUGCCGGGGCCCAUUAGGUGCAGUGCAAAGCAUGUGGGUGAAAGGCUUUCCUUUCUAAAAUGAUAUUGGUUGUCCCUAGAGAUCUCUGUCUCUACAUCUUAGAUUAGUUAGUGUGGUUUGGUUAUAGAAAUAUAUAUAGCAAAAAUGACAUAAAGUUGAAAAUAAAUUUAAGAUUAAUCAAAUUGCUGAUGACAUGGUUCUGCUGUUUUACAGGUGAGACACUCCUACCUGCUUGAUAUAUUUUUUAAAGAUUAAAAAAAAUGUUUAUUUACUUUUGAGAGAGAGAAACUGCAAGCGGGGGAGGGGCAGAGAGAGAAAGGGGGACAGAAGAUCCCAAACAGGCUCUGCACUGACAGCUGCUAGCCCAAUGUGGGGCUCGAACUCAUGAACCAGGAGAUCAUGACCUGAGCCAAAGUCUGAUGCUUAACCGACUGAGCCACCCAGGUGCCCCUCUGCUUGGUAUUUUAAUUUAGAUCAGUUUGCUCCUAUUUUUCUCUCCAUAUUACUUUCCUUUCCCCAUUUGUGUCUUUUUGCUACAACGUCUCUUUGUACACAUAACUUUAGUUCUGUUAUGGUUAUAGGGGCCAGUUAUGCAUGAGAAGAGAUAGAAUUGGGAGCUGAUAAUGUUACUUACAGCAGUUAAGAUUUUUUUUAAUUGAAAUUGCUUGAGAAUUGCUUUGAUGGCCUGGCUUCUCUUCAUGUCCCAGUUUUAUUGCUAGAUUUCUUGCCACUUUAUUGCCUUAUUCUCCAUUUUUCUUCCCUAUGUUCUAGUCACAGAGAUUUACUCAGUAUACCCCAAAAGUUCUUUCUAGGGCCUUUCCUCAAAACUUUUCUUACCGGGAGGUUCUCUGCAUAUGCCCAUUAAUUUAAGUACUACCUUCCCACAAAGAGCCAGUUCACAUGCCACCUCCUCAAAGAAGUCAUUACAGAUCCUCUUAGUCAAUUUCAAUAUACUCAUUCUUCCAUUAAAUCAUUAUACCCUCAUUAGAGUGCUAAUUAAAGUUUAUUUAUUAAUUUUUUCGUUGUGUACACAUUCAUUGAGUGUCUACUGUGCAUAAAUUGUUCUGGGAGCUAGGGUAAGAGACUGUUAAGACAGUUUUCAAGAAGCUUACAGAAUAGUGGGGGAGGCAUAUGAGCAGGAUAGUUUCAGUACAGUGUGAUAAGUACAGUGGGUGUGUGCAGGAUUCUGUGGGAGCCCAGAGAGGGAGCAUCUAAUGUAGCAGGGGUUGGGGAAUUCCAGAAAGAUUUGAGCUGGACAUUGGAGAAAUGGAGGUAGAGAAAGGAAUUUCCCAGACUAAUGGAACAUCACAUUGUAAGUCACUGAGAUGUGAAAUGUCUUGCAUAUCUGAAGAAUAAGUAGCUCAGGCUGCAGUGUGGAUGGGGGAAGUGGCAGGAGAUGCUUUCAAGGAGGCAAGACAAUGGAAUCGUGAUGGACCUUUUGUGCCAAGCUAGGCACAUGAGCUUUCUGAAAGCAGUAUAGAGCCCUUGAAGGACUUUAUGUAGGGGACAACUCAGUAAGCCUUGAGUUGUUUUUCUCGAUGGUACGAAUCAAGUCUUAUACAUCAUGGUAUCACCUUAGCACCUAAUACACAGCUUGAUACUAGAGGCCAGUAAAAUUGAACUGGGUUUGCUGGGUACUGCUUUAAAUCUUUUCAAGAAUUAAUUUAUCUGAAAUAAUAACAGUAAUAGUGUUGAACACUUUUGCACUCUGUCAAAUCUAUAAGCAUUAUCUUACCUAAUCCUUACUACUCUCUAAGCAUAGGGGCUUAGAGCAUUUAAGUGAGGGGACCACCAUAAUAGUUAAGUCUGCUUAGGUUUGAAUUUCAGCUCCUCCAGUUACUGGUUUUGGACCUCAAAGUUACAUUUGUGCUUCAGUUUCCUCAUCUGUAAAAUUAUAAUGAUAAUAAUACCUCAUAGGGUAUUGUGAGGAGUAGUGAUACAUGUAAAAACAUGUAAAGUGGUUGGCCCUAUAGUUGCUAAGUGAUUACAUGCCCAAUAAAUAAUUAAUUUUUAGCUAUUAUUAAGAAACACACCCCAAAGUCACAGGCACAAUUAGCGGGAAAGCCCAAGAUGAACAAGGCAAUUUGACUUCAGAAUCUUUAAUUACUAUUUAUUCUAUGUUAUAACUGCUUCUGUGGUUAUAGUGAGAUGAGUAAAGAUGGGUUCCAAGCAGUGAAACAAAAUGAAGAAUUUAGUCAACAUGGGAAAUACCAUUUGGGGUAGGGAGUUCUUAGGGGCUCUUCAAAUUACCCUCACUUAAAGAACUCUUCCUUUGCUACCUUGCCUGCACUUUAGAGACUUAUGUGAGAAGUAUAUUUCUGUAAUUUAGGUAGAUGAUGUUAAUUCCAGAUUCAUAGUUCACAUAGCUAUUGAACCUAGAGACUGUUUUAUAAAGGUCUCCCUCUAGGAGUUGGUCUGCUAGUGCUGGCACCCAGUAUACAAUGUCAAGUCUUGUAGCUCUGUUCCUUUUCUCCAUACUCCCUAGAUUUUUCCAACUUUAGGACCCAAGUGGGAGUCUUAUGUUGGAGGAUGUUGUGCAAACCACAUGCGUAAAGAAAAUAAUUUACAUUUUUCCUUUCUUAGCUUCUGGAACAUCAGUGAUUCCAUCCUCCCACUUCUAUUGGGCAGAAAUUGAGGUAUUCUCCUUAUGCUCCCUCAUCUUCUCCAAAAGGCACCACACACACAUACACACACACACACACACACACACACACACACACACACACACACUCCUUGCCAUACAUGUCAGAGGGACCCAGCAUAACUGCUUUUUUUCUGAUUCAAGGUUCUAAGAACAUACUAAGUCUUUGGUAAUAGAGGUUCCCGCCAGCAAUUCACUUUUUCUUCUCUGUUCUUACUCUUUCCAGUCAUAACUGUCUUUCAGCUUUUUUUUUUUUUUCACCAAUUUAUCCCAUUAUCCCUUGCAUAGUGCUUGGUAUAUAGUAGGCAUGCAAUAAGUAGUUUUUGAAAGAAUAAGAGAAAGGCAGGAUGCAUUGUAUAUUCAAUACUUUAAUGAUAUUCAAUUACAGAAAAAUGUGCAAAAAUCUUGCCUUGCUUUAAGUUUCAUGGGAACAGAUUGGUGUUAGCAAGUUGGCCCCACCGUCACCUCCACUGCCACAUUAGAGCUCCCACAACUUCAGGAUUUAUCCUCCUGAGUAUAUGUAGUAAUGGGACUGAAUGGAUGCCUCACAAAUAGAGAUCUCCAGGUUUGGGGCAGGUCUGUCUCAUGAGCUUUGUUAUUUUUCCAAAUUCUUUUGCAAUUUCAUGACUUCAUAAUGGAAGAGUUUCCACAAAUUUAAGUCUGUAUGGAAAUUAAUAAGUCACAGGAGACAUAUUGAUUACUGUUAGAAAAGGGUGGGGGAAAAUAGAAGAUAUCCAGGGCCUAUGGUUCAGAAUAAAUAACCUUCAUAAUUCUGGUGUCUAUAAGGACUCAAAUUUGUGUAGACAGUGGUGCUGAGACAAACCCUCUUUCACUGUUUCCUAGGAAAACCGUUAGAGAUGUGAAAAAAGAGGCUUAAAUUUUAGGAGCUUAUGCUUGCCUGAAAGUCCAGACUCAUGUUUAGUCUGGGCCAUGAUGACACACCAGUAGACUAUCCAGACAUGUUCAAGGCUGUGAACCUGGUCAUUCAGGACUUUGUUUGACCUUGGAUCUCAUACAAUGUAUUGCAGUAUGCAGAAAUAGUGUGUCGAAAGAUGAAGAACAUCUCCUGAAGCCCAAGAAUGUCGCGCGCGCGCGCGCGUGUGUGUGUGUGUGUAUCUAUAACCUGGAGGUAAUCUCCAAGACUUCAAAUGAAAGUGAUACCCAGGCUUGAAUCUGGUGUGCUUCACGCACAAAUUUUGUUAACUGCUUGCUCUGUCUUCAAACCUCCUUAAAAAGGUUACUUUAAGGUUACUUUUCAUACCUCUAUAAGCAAUUAGAAGAAGAAGACCAAAUUAAACCCAAAGCAAGAAGAUUAAGAUAACAGCGGAAAUCAGCCAGAUAGAAAAGAGAUAGUUAAUAGAGAAAAUUGACAAAGCCAAAAGUCUGUCCUUUGAAAAGUAUAAUAAAAUUGAUGAACCUCUACCGUGAUUGAUAAGGAUAGAAAACAGAAAUUACCAACCUGAGGAAUGAAAGAAAUAUCACUAGAUCAUACUGACAUUAAAGGAAUAAUAAAAAAAUAAUAUGGAAAACAACAAUGUGGAAAUUUUAUACCAUUAAAUUCAACAAAUUAGAUGUUUCCAAAUACUUUAAAUCAUAACUUACUAAAGCUAAUAUAAGAUGGAAUAGAAAAUCUGAGUAACCCUUUAUCUACUUAAAAUUUUGAAUUUUUGAUUUAAAAAACCUUCCUGUGAAGAAAACUAUAGGUUCAGAUGAUCUCUCUGAGGAGUACUAUAAAACAUUUAAAGAAAAAACAAUAUGAAUGCUAAGAAAAUUUAGAAAAUAAAGGAGGAAGGAAUAUUUCUUAACUCAUUUUAUGAAGCAAGUAUUACCCGGAUACCAAACCUGAGAAAACUAUUUCAAAAAAAUGUUGCUGAUCAGUAUUUCUGUGAAUAUAGCCACUGCAAUAUAGUGAAUGUUUGUGUCCCUCCAAGAUUCAUGUGUUCAAAUCCUAACCUCCAAUGUGAUGGAGAAGUCAACAGUCUGCAACCUGGAAGAGGACCCUUACCAGACACUGAAUCUGCUGGUGCCUUGAUCUUGGACUUCAUACCCUCCAGAAUUGUGAGAAAUAAAUGUUUGUUGUUUAAAGUCA